rnacentral:rRNA from 1 species
UACAGAGGUCUCAAGCGUUGUUCGGAUUCAUUGGGCGUAAAGGGUGCGUAGGCGGCGCGGUAAGUCGGGUGUGAAAUCUCGGAGCUUAACUUCGAAACUGCAUUCGAUACUGCCGUGCUUGAGGACUGGAGAGGAGACUGGAAUUUACGGUGUAGCGGUGAAAUGCGUAGAUAUCGUAAGGAAGACCAGUGGCGAAGGCGGGUCUCUGGACAGUUCCUGACGCUGAGGCGCGAAGGCUAGGGGAGCAAACGGG